rnacentral:rRNA from 1 species
GACGAACGCUGGCGGCGUGCUUAACACAUGCAAGUCGAACGGAAAGGCCCUGCUUUUGUGGGGGGCUCGAGUGGCAAACGGGUGGGUAACACGUGGGUAACCUGCCCUUGACUUUGGGAUAACUUCGGAAACCUGGGGCUACUACGGGAUAGGAGCUCCUGCUGCAUGGUGGGGGUUGGAAAGUUUCGGCGGUUGGGGAUGGACUCGCGGCUUCUCAGCUUGCUGGUGGGGUAGUGGCUUACCAAGGCUUUGACGGGUAGCCGGCCUGAGAGGGUGACCGGCCACAUUGGGACUGAGAUACGGCCCAGACUCCUACGGGAGGCAGCAGUGGGGAAUAUUGCACAAUGGGCGGAAGCCUGAUGCAGCAACGCCGCGUGCGGGAUGACGGCCUUCGGGUUGUAAACCGCUUUCGCCUGUGACGAAGCGUGAGUGACGGUAAUGGGUAAAGAAGCACCGGCUAACUACGUG